rnacentral:rRNA from 1 species
UCCGUAGGCGGUGUGGCAAGUCGGUAGUGAAAUCUCUCGGCUUAACUGAGAGGCUGCUGCCGAAACUGCCAUGCUCGAGUGCGAGAGAGGCGAGUGGAAUUGCGGGUGUAGCGGUGAAAUGCGUAGAUAUCCGCAGGAACAUCCGAGGCGAAAGCGGCUCGCUGGAUCGCAACUGACGCUGAGGGACGAAGGCUAGGGGAGCAAACAGGAUUAGAUACCCUGGUAGUCCUAGCCCUAAACCAUCAGGACUUGGGGUUUGCCCUGUACGGGGCAAGUCCCGGAGCUAACGCGUUAAGUCCUGCGCCUGGGGAGUACGGUCGCAAGGCUGAA